rnacentral:rRNA from 1 species
UGCCAGCCGCCGCGGUAAUACGGCGGGUGCGAUCUUUAAUCGGAAUUACUGGGUGUAAAGGGUGCGCAGGCGGACUUGUGCGUCAGAGGUUAAAUGUCACCGCUCAACGGUGAACCUGCCUUUGAUACGGCGAGUCUUGAGUACGAGAGAGGUAGGUAGAAUUCCUGGUGUAGCGGUGAAAUGCGUAGAUAUCAGGAGGAAUACCAGUGGCGAAGGCGGCCUACUGGCUCGUAACUGACGCUCAUGCACGAAAGCGUGGGUAGCGAACAGGAUUAGAUA